rnacentral:rRNA from 1 species
AAGCGCGCAACAGCUCAAAUUUGAAAUCUGGGCCUCCGGGUCCGAGUUGUAAUUUGUAGAGGAUGCUUUUGGCGAGGUGCCUUCCGAGUUCCCUGGAACGGGACGCCAUAGAGGGUGAGAGCCCCGUCUGGUCGGACACCGAGCCUCUGUAAAGCUCCUUCGACGAGUCGAGUAGUUUGGGAAUGCUGCUCAAAAUGGGAGGUAUAUGUCUUCUAAAGCUAAAUAUUGGCCAGAGACCGAUAGCGCACAAGUAGAGUGAUCGAAAGAUGAAAAGCACUUUGAAAAGAGGGUUAAAAAGUACGUGAAAUUGUUGAAAGGGAAGCGCCUAUGACCAGACUUGGGCCCGGUGAAUCAUCCAGCGUUCUCGCUGGUGCACUUUGCCGGGCACAGGCCAGAUCAGUUUGGCGCGGGGGAAAAAGGUUUUGGGAAUGUGGCUCCCUCGGGAGUGUUAUAGCCCAUUGCGUAGUACCUGCCCCAGACUGAGGUAGCGCAUCGCAGGGAUGCUGGCGUAAUGGUCAUCAGC